AUUGAACGCUGGCGGCAGGCUUAACACAUGCAAGUCGAGCGGAGAUGAGGUGCUUGCACCUUAUCUAGCGGCGGACGGGUGAGUAAUGCUUAGGAAUCUGCCUAUUAGUGGGGGACAACAUUCCGAAAAGAAUGCUAAUACCGCAUACGCCCUACGGGGGAAAGCAGGGGAUCUUCGGACCUUGCGCUAAUAGAUGAGCCUAAGUCGGAUUAGCUAGUUGGUGGGGUAAAGGACUACCAAGGCGACGAUCUGUAGCGGGUCUGAGAGGAUGAUCCGCCACACUGGGACUGAGACACGGCCCAGACUCCUACGGGAGGCAGCAGUGGGGAAUAUUGGACAAUGGGCGGAAGCCUGAUCCAGCCAUGCCGCGUGUGUGAAGAAGGCCUUUUGGUUGUAAAGCACUUUAAGCGAGGAGGAGGCUACCUGGAUUAAUACUCUAGGAUAGUGGACGUUACUCGCAGAAUAAGCACCGGCUAACUCUGUGCCAGCCGCCGCUGUAAGAC
rnacentral:rRNA from 1 species